GUGGGGAAUCUUAGACAAUGGGCGCAAGCCUGAUCUAGCCAUGCCGCGUGAGCGAUGAAGGCCUUAGGGUUGUAAAGCUCUUUCAGGGGGGAAGAUAAUGACGGUACCCCCAGAAGAAGCCCCGGCUAACUCCGUGCCAGCAGCCGCGGUAAUACGGAGGGGGCUAGCGUUGUUCGGAAUUACUGGGCGUAAAGCGCACGUAGGCGGACCAGAAAGUCAGGGGUGAAAUCCCGGGGCUCAACCCCGGAACUGCAUUUGAAACUCCUGGUCUUGAGGUCGAGAGAGGUGAGUGGAAUUCCGAGUGUAGAGGUGAAAUUCGUAGAUAUUCGGAGGAACACCAGUGGCGAAGGCGGCUCACUGGCUCGAUACUGACGCUGAGGUGCGAAAGCGUGGGGAGCAAACAGGAUUAGAAACCCCGGUAGUCC
rnacentral:rRNA from 1 species